rnacentral:rRNA from 1 species
CAGCAGCCACGGUAAUACGUAGGGUCCGAGCGUUGUCCGGAAUUACUGGGCGUAAAGAGCUCGUAGGUGGUUUGUCGCGUUGUUCGUGAAAACUCACAGCUCAACUGUGGGCGUGCGGGCGAUACGGGCAGACUGGAGUACUGCAGGGGAGACUGGAAUUCCUGGUGUAGCGGUGGAAUGCGCAGAUAUCAGGAGGAACACCGGUGGCGAAGGCGGGUCUCUGGGCAGUAACUGACGCUGAGGAGCGAAAGCGUGGGGAGCGAACAGGAUUAGAUACCCGCGUAGUCCCUGUCUCUUAUAC